AGCGACUAAGCGUACACGGUGGAUGCCCUGGCAGUCAGAGGCGAUGAAGGGCGUGCUAAUCUGCGAUAAGCGCCGGUAAGGUGAUAUGAACCGUUAUAACCGGCGAUACCCGAAUGGGGAAACCCAGUGUGAUUCGUCACACUAUCAUUAACUGAAUCCAUAGGUUAAUGAGGCGAACCGGGGGAACUGAAACAUCUAAGUACCCCGAGGAAAAGAAAUCAACCGAGAUUCCCCCAGUAGCGGCGAGCGAACGGGGAGGAGCCCAGAGCCUGAAUCAGCAUGUGUGUUAGUGGAAGCGUCUGGAAAGGCGCGCGAUACAGGGUGACAGCCCCGUACACAAAAGCGCAUGUGCUGUGAGCUCGAUGAGUAGGGCGGGACACGUGGUAUCCUGUCUGAAUAUGGGGGGACCAUCCUCCAAGGCUAAAUACUCCUGACUGACCGAUAGUGAACCAGUACCGUGAGGGAAAGGCGAAAAGAACCCCGGCGAGGGGAGUGAAAAAGAACCUGAAACCGUGUACGUACAAGCAGUGGGAGCACAGGUUUACCUGUG
rnacentral:rRNA from 1 species